GCAUCGGUUGGCGGGAGCAGACGCAUCUAUUGAUGCGUUUAAAAGCUGAGAGUGAAGUCAGGAAAGUGUGUGGAGUUUGUGUGUCUGAUUUCUUACCGUUGGAACCUGAUCGGGGUAAUGCCUGCGUGAGGGAACAACUGAUGUGUAUCAC